CCUACGGGUGGCAGCAGUGAGGAAUAUUGGUCAAUGGCCGUAAGGCUGAACCAGCCAAGUAGCGUGAGGGAAGACUGCCCUAUGGGUUGUAAACCUCUUUUAUGCGGGGAUAAAGUGAUCCACGUGUGGAUGUUUGUAGGUACCUCAUGAAUAAGGACCGGCUAAUUCCGUGCCAGCAGCCGCGGUAAUACGGAGGGUCCGGGCGUUAUCCGGAUUUAUUGGGUUUAAAGGGAGCGUAGGCGGGUUUUUAAGCGUGCUGUGAAAUUUUGUGGCUCAACCGUAAAAGUGCGGAGCGAACUGGAGACCUUGAGUGCGCUGAAGGUAGGCGGAAUUCGUGGUGUAGCGGUGAAAUGCUUAGAUAUCACGAAGAACCCCGAUUGCGAAGGCAGCUUGCUGAAGUGUCACUGACGCUGAAGCUCGAAAGCGUGGGUAUCGAACAGGAUUAGAUACCCCAGUAGUC
rnacentral:rRNA from 1 species